GCCCACGUAGCUCAGUCGGAAGAGCACGCCCUUGGUAAGGGCGAGGUCAGCAGUUCGAUCCUGCUCGUGGGCU
rnacentral:tRNA from 1 species